CGGAGUCUUACCUGAUAGGGAGUCCAGCUCGCAGAGUUAUACGCUCACCCUUGCAAAGUAGACACAGACCAGGGUGACCAGGUAAGACGCCACCUGGCCUGUGAGUCUGUGCACGGGGGCUUUCCAGGAAAAGUGCUCCAAGACUCAGUACAGCAGGGAUAAGCAGAAGCGUGGUCAAGGGAAGCCGAAAUCAGGGAAGCCAGAGGUCAGAGUAGUCCAGGAGGAAAGCCAAGGUCAGAAGCCGGAA